UUUAUGGAGAGUUUGAUCCUGGCUCAGAGUGAACGCUGGCGGCGUGCCUAAUACAUGCAAGUCGAACGAUGAAGCUUCUAGCUUGCUAGAGUGCUGAUUAGUGGCGCACGGGUGAGUAACGCAUAGGUCAUGUGCCUCUUAGUUUGGGAUAGCCAUUGGAAACGAUGAUUAAUACCAGAUACUCCCUACGGGGGAAAGAUUUAUCGCUAAGAGAUCAGCCUAUGUCCUAUCAGCUUGUUGGUAAGGUAAUGGCUUACCAAGGCUAUGACGGGUAUCCGGCCUGAGAGGGUGAACGGACACACUGGAACUGAGACACGGUCCAGACUCCUACGGGAGGCAGCAGUAGGGAAUAUUGCUCAAUGGGGGAAACCCUGAAGCAGCAACGCCGCGUGGAGGAUGAAGGUUUUAGGAUUGUAAACUCCUUUUGUUAGAGAAGAUAAUGACGGUAUCUAACGAAUAAGCACCGGCUAACUCCGUGCCAGCAGCCGCGGUAAUACGGAGGGUGCAAGCGUUACUCGGAAUCACUGGGCGUAAAGAGCGCGUAGGCGGGAUAGUCAGUCAGGUGUGAAAUCCUAUGGCUUAACCAUAGAACUGCAUUUGAAACUACUAUUCUAGAGUGUGGGAGAGGUAGGUGGAAUUCUUGGUGUAGGGGUAAAAUCCGUAGAGAUCAAGAGGAAUACUCAUUGCGAAGGCGACCUGCUGGAACAUUACUGACGCUGAUUGCGCGAAAGCGUGGGGAGCAAACAGGAUUAGAUACCCUGGUAGUCCACGCCCUAAACGAUGGAUGCUAGUUGUUGGAGGGCUUAGUCUCUCCAGUAAUGCAGCUAACGCAUUAAGCAUCCCGCCUGGGGAGUACGGUCGCAAGAUUAAAACUCAAAGGAAUAGACGGGGACCCGCACAAGCGGUGGAGCAUGUGGUUUAAUUCGAAGAUACACGAAGAACCUUACCUAGGCUUGACAUUGAGAGAAUCCGCUAGAAAUAGUGGAGUGUCUAGCUUGCUAGACCUUGAAAACAGGUGUUGCACGGCUGUCGUCAGCUCGUGUCGUGAGAUGUUGGGUUAAGUCCCGCAACGAGCGCAACCCCCUUUCUUAGUUGCUAACAGGUCAUGCUGAGAACUCUAAGGAUACUGCCUCCGUAAGGAGGAGGAAGGUGGGGACGACGUCAAGUCAUCAUGGCCCUUACGCCUAGGGCUACACACGUGCUACAAUGGGGUGCACAAAGAGAAGCAAUACUGCGAAGUGGAGCCAAUCUUCAAAACAUCUCUCAGUUCGGAUUGUAGGCUGCAACUCGCCUGCAUGAAGCUGGAAUCGCUAGUAAUCGCAAAUCAGCCAUGUUGCGGUGAAUACGUUCCCGGGUCUUGUACUCACCGCCCGUCACACCAUGGGAGUUGUGUUUGCCUUAAGUCAGGAUGCUAAAUUGGCUACUGCCCACGGCACACACAGCGACUGGGGUGAAGUCGUAACAAGGUAACCGUAGGUGAACCUGCGGUUGGAUCACCUCCUUUCUAGA
rnacentral:rRNA from 1 species